UAUAUUCAGAGUUUGAUCCUAGCUCAGGAUGAAUGCUGGCGGCGUGGAUAAGGCAUGCAAGUCGAACGGGUCGCAAGACCAGUGGCAGACGAAGUAGUAAUAUACAGGUACGCACCGAAGAGUCUGGCAUAGCUAGCCGAAAGGUUAGGUAAUUCCGGAUGGCGUGGUGACACUAAAGGGGCAACCCGCUCUUUGAGCGGCCUGUACAGCAUCAGCUAGUUGGUAGGGUAACGGCCUACCAAGGCUAUGACGCUUAGGGGAGCUGAGAGGCUGACCCCCACUGAUAGCACUGAGACACGGGCUAUACACCUACGGGUGGCUGCAGUCGAGAAUCUUCCACAAUGGGCGAAAGCCUGAUGGAGCGACGCCGCGUGGUUGAUGAAGUCCUUCGGGACGUAAAAACCUUUUAUGAGGGAGGAAGUUAUUGACGUUACCUCAUGAAUAAGGGGCUCCUAACUCUGUGCCAGCAGGAGCGGUAAUACAGAGGCCCCGAGCAUUAUCCGGAAUCACUGGGCGUAAAGGGUGUGUAGGCGGUCGUGUUAGUCCUUCGUGAAAGACCCCGGGCUUAACCCGGGGGACGCGGCGGAAACGGCACGACUUUGAGGAUGUGAGAGGUAAAGGGAACUCAUGGUGUAGGGGUGAAAUCCGUUGAUAUCAUGGGGAACACCAAAUGCGAAGGCACUUUACUG
rnacentral:rRNA from 1 species